GCAGUGGUGUAUUACAAACUGUAGGGCUUCGCUGGUGGGGGUUGAUUUCUUUACCUUUCUUUUGACAUCCUCACAAAAAUCUUACCCUUAAACUGAAUUAUUUUAAAUGCAGGUUAUUCCUGCAUGCAAUGCUUAGAACUCUUAAUUGCAGUUAGAGUUAACAGUAAUUGGAAUUCCCUAAUCCGACCUCAGGUGUGCCCCUCUCGCCUCUGCAGAACUCAGGCCAAUGAUACGGUUCAUUCACGUGCGCACUUAGAUUAUUUAUUGAGUCUUGCUGGGUGCUGGGGCAAGGUGACUGACUUGAGUACCUAGGAGAAUAUCGGGUGUCUGCGCCGCAGACACCAUCACGUGUGGGAGGCAAA